CGGGUGAGCCUCCAUCCUCAUGUUCGCUCGAUGCUAAGUACUACUCCUAACUGAAUGACACUAAUACCUGAAAAUCCUUAUAAUAAUAAUAUUCUAAAAACAAUAAUUAAUGCAUAAUCUAAAAGUACUCAAUAACAUGUAAGCUGGAGAAUAUAGCAUUUAUAAGUGUACGCAUGAAAUCCUAGGUCAUCAGGUAUUCAUAACCCAC
rnacentral:lncRNA from 1 species